GGUGGCGUGUGGCCAGUAGGUAAAAUGGUUGCCCCACAGCCACAAGGUUGGCGGAUCAAUCCCAGGUCAUCCGACCACAUGUCAAAGUGUCCCUGAGCAAGACACUAAACACCAGGUUGCUCCCCGGAUGCUGUAUGUACAGCUUCCCACUGCUCCUAAUAGGAUGGGUUAAACGCAGUCAUA